rnacentral:rRNA from 1 species
GACGAACGCUGGCGGCGUGCUUAACACAUGCAAGUCGAACGGAAAGGCCCUGCUUUUGUGGGGUGCUCGAGUGGCGAACGGGUGAGUAACACGUGAGUAACCUGCCCUUGACUUUGGGAUAACUUCAGGAAACUGGGGCUAAUACCGGAUAGGAGCUCCUGCUGCAUGGUGGAGGUUGGAAAGUUUCGGCGGUUGGGGAUGGACUCGCGGCUUAUCAGCUUGUUGGUGGGGUAGUGGCUUACCAAGGCUUUGACGGGUAGCCGGCCUGAGAGGGUGACCGGCCACAUUGGGACUGGGAUACGGCCCAGACUCCUACGGGAGGCAGCAGUGGGGAAUAUUGCACAAUGGGCGGAAGCCUGAUGCAGCAACGCCGCGUGCGGGAUGACGGCCUUCGGGUUGUAAACCGCUUUCGCCUGUGACGAAGCGUGAGUGACGGUAAUGGGUAAAGAAGCACCGGCUAACUACGUG